GUGUCAGCCGCCGCGGUAAGACGAACCACACAAACGUUAUUCGGAAUUACUGGGCUUAAAGGGUGCGUAGGCGGCGCGGAAAGUUGGGUGUGAAAUCCCUCGGCUCAACCGAGGAACUGCGCCCAAAACUACCGUGCUCGAGGGAGAUAGAGGUGAGCGGAACUUAGGGUGGAGCGGUGAAAUGCGUUGAUAUCCUAAGGAACACCCGUGGCGAAAGCGGCUCACUGGGUCUCUUCUGACGCUGAGGCACGAAAGCUAGGGUAGCGAACGGGAUUAGAUACCCCGGUAGUCCUAGCCGUAAACGAUGAGCACUGGGUUGGAGGAUCCCUCAUAAUCCUCCAGCCGCAGCGAAAGUGUUAAGUGCUCCGCCUGGGGAGUAUGGUCGCAAGGCUGAA
rnacentral:rRNA from 1 species